rnacentral:rRNA from 1 species
UACGUAGGGUGCGAGCGUUGUCCGGAAUUAUUGGGCGUAAAGAGCUUGUAGGCGGUUUGUCGCGUCUGCUGUGAAAAUCCGGGGCUCAACCCCGGACUUGCAGUGGGUACGGGCAGACUGGAGUGUGGUAGGGGAGACUGGAAUUCCUGGUGUAGCGGUGAAAUGCGCAGAUAUCAGGAGGAACACCGGUGGCGAAGGCGGGUCUCUGGGCAACAACUGACGCUGAGGAGCGAAAGCGUGGGGAGCGAACAGG